rnacentral:misc_RNA from 1 species
UACAGAGGGUGCGAGCGUUAAUCGGAUUUACUGGGCGUAAAGCGUGUGUAGGUGGCUUCGUAAGUCGGUUGUGAAAUCCCUGGGCUCAACCUGGGAAUUGCAGUCGAUACUGCGAAGCUGGAGUUCGGUAGAGGGUGGCAGAAUUCCCGGUGUAGCGGUGAAAUGCGUAGAUAUCGGGAGGAAUACCGAUGGCGAAGGCAACCACCUGGGCCUGAACUGACACUGAGACACGAAAGCGUGGGUAGCAAACAGG